CGGGGCCCAACACUAGGGGAUGCUGUACCCUGGUGGUAAGGACUAGAGGUUAGAGGAGACCCCCCGCAUAAC
rfam:Dengue virus type 1 Djibouti strain D1/H/IMTSSA/98/606 polyprotein gene, complete cds.